GGAGAGGGGCGACAGAGCCAGCCAGGACAUGGGACCAGGGACAUGAAAGAUGCAGAGAGGGUUCAGAAUGCAGACAAGGUUUUGUACCUUCCAAGGGGAACCUGCCUCACAUCAACCUGGAAUCUCAUGUGGGUCAUGGCCUGUCUCUGUCAGUCUCUAGCUCACAGCCUGGAAAGUCAGGACAAGCUCUGCCCUAGAGCUGCAGCCUUCUCCCUUUCAUAGCUUUCUAAGAAGAAGACCCUCAGAGCCAUGCAGCCAAUCAAGAGAUACCGGACGACAGAUUAGAGGGACCCUCCUCAAAGCCGCACAGCUGAAUGGGAAGAGCAACACUCCAGUGAACAGCCACAGCUCCUGUUACCUGUAGAGUGAUCCUGCCAGCUGUGCGGCACCGCCUGCCCUGCCAAGAGCUCACCUUUAAAGUACUUCGUAUCAAUUUCGAUUUGAGUGAUGACUCCAGGAUGUGCUAAUCGGAACACUGCCCACUCACAACCCGGGACAUGGAGCAGGCCAUUCUCAUUACCCUGGAAUUGAAAAUAAACAAUAAAUCAAAAGCCAGCUUGAGUUUGA